CCUACGGGGGGCAGCAGUGAGGAAUAUUGGUCAAUGGGCUUACGCCUGAACCAGCCAAGUCGCGUGAGGGAAGACUACCCUAUGGGUUGUAAACCUCUUUUGUCAGGGAGCAAAGGCGGGGACGUGUCCCCGGAUGAGUGUACCUGAAGAAAAAGCAUCGGCUAACUCCGUGCCAGCAGCCGCGGUAAUACGGAGGAUGCGAGCGUUAUCCGGAUUUAUUGGGUUUAAAGGGGGCGCAGGCGGCGAGUUAAGUCAGCGGUAAAAUUUCGGGGCUCAACCCCGACGAGCCGUUGAAACUG
rnacentral:rRNA from 1 species